CCAUGAUAGGAUUCGAGGAAUCCUACUCCAACCAGUACUGGAAUUGAGGUCAAACACAACACACGUCAAUGCCUUGAGCUGGUGCUGUGCAGAAUACCCUAUAUAUAUACCCAUAUGAAUAUUGAUGAAAACGGCUAGAGUUGGAUAUUAAGAGAAUGUCAAAUUCAAAGGAGUCAAAGAAGAGUGAGGCGUUGACAAACAGUGGUCCCUUCAAGGUCCAGUGCAGUUGUGACUGUGAGGAGAGUGAUUGCGAUGAAGUAUGGACCCUCAAAAAGCGAUACUGGCCCGACAGUCUACCAGAUUCACCAUCAUGUCGAGGUUGCGGAGGCUGUACUAAAAUAAAGUUACUUCAUACUCCAUACCAAGGUGGACGACGAUGUUUCGGUUAUUAUUCGUGCAAUGAAUGUAAAAAUAAAUGGUCAAGUGCAUAUAGCUGGGCUAACACUUAUCAAGAGUGUGUGAAUUGUGAUGGAUGUGUGUAUCCUCAGGGCCAGCGUAAACUUGAGAGAUCCGGAGAAAGGAAUCCUGAAAAGCCACAUCUAUCGGAGCGUUGUGGAAAGUGUCAAGAAUUAGAACACUCUUGCAAUGGGACAUGGUAGAGAUUAAACAGUUCGAAGAUGUGUCUGUGAGCAAAAUCUACAUGUAUGAUAAUUGUGGCCUGCAAAAAGGAUUGUUUCUAGACUUGUAUUUCCCUUACUGGUGCACACUUUUGCUUUGCCCUAGGAUGGCGCUACAUGUAUGAAAACACUGCUUAUGAACAUAGCUGACCAAAAUCAUGAAAUUCAUACUGUGGACACUCCUCAGGAGACUACAUUUCAAAAUACGCGAGGUUUUUUCCACCUACUUUUCAAGGUCACAGUAGGUCAAAUAGCACAAUUUGGCUAUUAUUCAAUGCUCAAUAGUUCCAUAUUGGCCAACUAUAGAUCGAUAUCUUUCUUUACAACAAUGUAUAAUAUCUUUCUUAUGUCAUGCAUGAAUUAUUGGCUGCAAAUGCGCUGUUUUUGUGCGUGCACGUAGAGUAAAACCUCCCUCAGUGGACACCUCUCUAUUAAGGAGCCUAGUUUUCAUUCCAUUUGACCUCUCUAAAUUAAUCAGGACACCUCUCUUGCCAGUAGGGGGUUUUUGACUCCCCAAUCACAUUCUAACCCACAAUCAUGGCAAAUGAAUAUAAACAAGUCUAUUUCAGCCUCAAAUCUUUCUUACAAGGGCUAAAUACGCACACAAUCAAUCCCAAAAAGCAAAUUCGGGAUCGAUGCGCGUUUUUCACUGAAUUAUCUACGGUAUUUAUUAUAUACAUCAGAGACCCCCAGCGACAAACUGCUCUAAGGAAUAGUUGGAAAGCCCUGGUAUGUCCUCAAAAAUGAGUGGUCUUGUACAUGUAAUACAUUGCCUAUAUUUCAAGCAUUGUAGUUCCCUGGCAGUCUACCUGGGGAUGGAAAAAACACCAUUGUAUUUGUGAGUGACGUCAACAACAAUCACCACCUGGGUUGUCUAAGACAUUCAUUAUUAUUUUUAAAAAUGAAUAAAAUUGAUUACCUGUCAUAGGAUUGCUAGCUUGAA